rnacentral:tRNA from 1 species
GGGGAUGUAGCUCAGUAGUAAAGCACUUGCCUGGCAUGCCUGAUCAGGCCCUAGGUUCAAUCCCUAGUACCACCA